GUGCAGAUAUUCUCGAUCCUGCUUUACUCCGUUCUGGUCGCCUGGACCGCAAGAUUGAGUUCCCUCAUCCGGCAGAAGAAGCAAGAGCUAGGAUUUUACUCAAGAAAGAUGAACGUACAUCCUGAUGUCAACUUUGAGGAGCUGGCUCGUUCAACUGAUGAUUUCAACGGUGCACAGCUGAAGGCUGUUUGUGUGAAAGCUGGCAUGCUUGCUCUACGCAGGGAUGCUACAGAGGUGAUCCAUGAAGAUUUCAACGAAGGCAUUAUCCAAGUGCAAGCAAAGAAGAAAUCCAGCUUGAAUUAUUACGCUUAGUUUCCCUUAAGUAUUCAGAAGGCUUGGUCCUGUGACGGCCGCUGUUUGUAACACUCGGCUACCAUUUUCAUUUGGAAUAUAGUUUAAUUCUCGAAUCCUCCUGAUUGUGUGAAUCACUCUUUGCUUUGUGCAUGUACCCGAAGAACUUAUUUCCAACCAAUUGCUCUGUGCGACAAUGUGAAUUGUGGACUAUAUGGCUUGUUCAGGAUGCAUUAUC